rnacentral:rRNA from 1 species
ACUCCUACGGGAGGCAGCAGUGGGGAAUAUUGGACAAUGGGGGCAACCCUGAUCCAGCAAUGCCGCGUGAGUGAAGAAGGCCUUCGGGUUGUAAAGCACUUUUAUCAGGAGCGAAAUACUACUGGCUAAUAACCGGUGGGGCUGACGGUACCUGAGGAAUAAGCACCGGCUAACUUCGUGCCAGCAGCCGCGGUAAUACGAAGGGUGCAAGCGUUAAUCGGAAUUACUGGGCGUAAAGCGUGCGUAGGCGGUGAGUUAAGUCUGUUGUGAAAUCCCCGGGCUCAACCUGGGAAUGGCAAUGGAUACUGGCUCGCUAGAGUGUGAUAGAGGAUGGUGGAAUUCCCGGUGUAGCGGUGAAAUGCGUAGAGAUCGGGAGGAACAUCAGUGGCGAAGGCGGCCAUCUGGAUCAACACUGACGCUGAGGCACGAAAGCGUGGGGAGCAAACAGGAUUAGAUACCCUGGUAGUCCACGCCCUAAACGAUGCGAACUGGAUGUUGGUCUCAACUCGGAGAUCAGUGUCGAAGCUAACGCGUUAAGUUCGCCGCCUGGGGAGUACGGUCGCAAGACUGAAACUCAAAGGAAUUGACG